AUCUGUGUAUCGGCACAUAAUUCUUUUAUCAGAUAUGGAAAAGAACAGAGUUGAGGUGCCUUGGUUCUUAGAGAGAGGGAUCGGUGUCAUGAAAGUGCAAGAAUUCUUGGCAAAAU